rnacentral:rRNA from 1 species
AACGCUGGCGGCAGGCCUAACACAUGCAAGUCGAGCGCGAAAACACCUCGGUGUGAGUAGAGCGGCGGACGGGUGAGUAAUGCUUGGGAAUCUACCUAGUAGUGGGGGAUAACGUGUGGAAACGCACGCUAAUACCGCGUACGUCCUACGGGAGAAAGCAGGGGACCUUCGGGCCUUGCGCUAUUAGAUGAGCCCAAGUCGGAUUAGCUAGUUGGUAGGGUAAUGGCUUACCAAGGCGACGAUCCGUAGCUGGUCUGAGAGGAUGAUCAGCCACACUGGGACUGAGACACGGCCCAGACUCCUACGGGAGGCAGCAGUGGGGAAUAUUGCACAAUGGGCGAAAGCCUGAUGCAGCCAUGCCGCGUGUGUGAAGAAGGCUCUAGGGUUGUAAAGCACUUUCAGUAGGGAGGAAAAGUAUGUAGUUAAUAACUGCAUACCCUGACGUUACCUACAGAAGAAGCACCGGCAAACUCCGUGCCAGCAGCCGCGGUAAUACGGAGGGUGCGAGCGUUAAUCGGAAUUACUGGGCGUAAAGCGCGCGUAGGUGGUUUGAUAAGCUAGCUGUGAAAGCCCCGGGCUCAACCUGGGAACUGCAGUUAGAACUGUCUGACUAGAGUACAGUAGAGGGUGGCGGAAUUUCCCGUGUAGCGGUGAAGUGCGUAGAUAUAGGAAGG